CUGGAGGACAUUAUGAAUCAAGCAAAAACCCUAAAAAUCCCGAAAAAUUUGGAAAAAAUAAGAGAUGGGGUGCUCACGAAAAACUGAACAGACAGAAUGUAACAAAAGAAAAAUGAAAGAAGAACAGCAAGAGAAAAAAUGAAGAGGGGAGUUCUGGAACUAACCUAGGCUGGUCUGAGAAGUAUAGAGAUGCAGAGAUGGGGAUCGACUCAAAGAAUGCCUAAGGCUGAAAGGGAUGAACUCUCGGGA
rnacentral:lncRNA from 1 species